rnacentral:rRNA from 1 species
UACGUAGGGAGCAAGCGUUAUCCGGCUUUAUUGGGUUUAAAGGGUGCGCAGGCGGAUUUUUAAGUCAGCGGUCAAAUCGUGGGGCUCAACCCCGGCCCGCCGUUGAAACUGGCUGGCUUGAGUUGGGGAAAGGCAGGCGGAAUGCGCGGUGUAGCGGUGAAAUGCAUAGAUAUCGCGCAGAACUCCGAUUGCGAAGGCAGCAUACCGGCGCCCAACUGACGCUGAGGCACGAAAGCGUGGGUAUCGAACAGG